rnacentral:rRNA from 1 species
UACAGAGGGUGCGAGCGUUAAUCGGAAUUACUGGGCGUAAAGCGUGCGUAGACGGUAGCGUAAGUCAGAUGUGAAAGCCCCGGGCUCAACCUGGGAAUUGCAUUUGAGACUGCUCUGCUCGGGUGCGGAAGAGGGAAGCGGAAUUUCCGGUGUAGCGGUGAAAUGCGUAGAUAUCGGAGGAACACCGGUGGCGAAGGCGGCUUUCUGGCCUGAUUCUGACGCUGAGGAGCGAAAGCCAGGGUAGCGAACGGG